GACAGAGGCCCCGAGCGUUAGGCGGAAUCACUGGGCUUAAAGCGUGUGUAGGCGGGCCCGUAAGUGUCUUGUGAAAUCCCACGGCUCAACCGUGGAACUGCUGGGCAUACUGCGGGUCUUGGGCCAACUAGGGGGCAGCCGGAACAAGCGGUGGAGCGGUGAAAUGCGUAGAUAUCGCUUGGAACGCCGAAGGUGAAAACAGGCUGCUGGGGUUGCGCCGACGCUGAGACACGAAAGCCAGGGGAGCAAACGGG
rnacentral:rRNA from 1 species